CUGACAGGUUACCAUAGUCACAUUAAUAUAUACUGACAGGUUACCAUAGUCACAUUAAUAUAUACUGACAGGUUACCAUAGUCACAUUAAUAUAUACUGACAGGUUACCAUAGUCACAUUAAUAUACACUGACAGGUUACCAUAGUCACAUUAAUAUACACUGAUAGGUUACCAUAGUCACAUUAAUAUAUACUGACAGGUUACCGUAGUUACAUUUUUAAAUACUGACAGAUUACCAUAGUCACAUUAAUAUAUACUGACAGGUUACCAUAGUUACAUUUUUAAAUACUGACAGGUUACCAUAGUCACAUUAAUAUAUACUGACAGGUUACCAUAGUUACAUUUUUAAAUACUGACAGGUUACCAUAGUCACAUUAAUAUAUA